CCUACGGGAGGCAGCAGUCGGGAAUUUUGCCCAAUGGACGAAAGUCUGAGGCAGCAACUCCGCGUGAGGGACGAAGGCUCUAGGGUCGUAAACCUCUUUUCUCAGGGAAGAUCCAAGACGGUACCUGAGGAAUAAGCCACGGCUAACUACGUGCCAGCAGCCGCGGUAAU
rnacentral:rRNA from 1 species